GACGGAGGGGGCAAGCGUUGUCCGGACUCACUGGGCGUAAAGGGUCCGUAGGCGGUGCGAUGCGUCGGUGCUGAAAGCGCCCGGCUCAACCGGGCGAGGCGUGCCGAUACGAUCGUACUUGAGGCAGGCAGAGGGUGGCGGAAUUCCGGGUGUAGUGGUGAAAUGCGUAGAGAUCCGGAGGAACGCCGGUGGCGCAAGCGGCCACCUGGGCCUGACCUGACGCUGAGGGACGAAAGCGUGGGGAGCGAACCGGAUUAGAUACCCGGGUAGUCCACGCCGUAAACGAUGCCGGCUCGGUGUCUGACAGCAUUGCGCUGUUGGGUGCCUUGGCUCACGCGGUAAGCCGGCCGCCUGGGGACUACGAGCGCAAGCUUAAA
rnacentral:rRNA from 1 species